GGUGAGCUUCUUCCCUUUUUUCUUUCUUUUUUUGUUGCUGUUUUUUGAUUUAGGUUAAUUAGUUGAUUUAGAUUGAUUUAGGUUAAUUAGUUGAUUUAGAUUGUAGGUUAGUUUUUUUAUAUUUAGUCAUAUUUUAGGUUAGUAGAUUUUAGGUUAAUAGAUUUUAGUUGAUUUUAGGUUAGUAGAUUUUAGUUGAUUUUAGGUUAGUAGAUUUUAGUUGAUUUAGGUUAAUUAGUUGAUUUAGGUUGAUUAGUUGAUUUAGGUUAACUAGUUGAUUUAGAUUGUAGGUUAGUUUUUUUAUAUUUAGUCAUAUUUUAGGUUAGUCAUAUUUUAGGUUAUUAGUACAUUUUGUGAGAUGAAAGAAAGAAGAAAA
rnacentral:lncRNA from 1 species